rnacentral:rRNA from 1 species
CCCUUAGAUGUUCUGGGCCGUACGCGCGCUACACUGACGAAUGCAACGAGCUUAUAACCUUGGCCGAAAGGUCUGGGUAAUCUCCAAAUUUCGUCGUGAUGGGGAUAGAUUAUUGCAAUUAUUAAUCUUCAACGAGGAAUGCCUAGUAAGCGCAAGUCAUCAGCUUGCGUUGAUUACGUCCCUGCCCUUUGUACACACCGCCCGUCGCUCCUACCGAUUGAAUGGUCCGGUGAAGCGUUCGGGCCGCUUCCUUUGGACGGGCAACCGUCUGUUGGUCGUGGGAAGUUCGUUAAACCUUAUCAUUUAGAGGAAGGAGAAGUCGUAACA